ACUCCUACGGGAGGCAGCAGUGGGGAAUAUUGCACAAUGGGCGCAAGCCUGAUGCAGCCAUGCCGCGUGUGUGAAGAAGGCCUUCGGGUUGUAAAGCACUUUCAGUUGUGAGGAAGGUGGUGUCGUUAAUAGCGGCAUCAUUUGACGUUAGCAACAGAAGAAGCACCGGCUAACUCCGUGCCAGCAGCCGCGGUAAUACGGAGGGUGCGAGCGUUAAUCGGAAUUACUGGGCGUAAAGCGCAUGCAGGUGGUUUGUUAAGUCAGAUGUGAAAGCCCGGGGCUCAACCUCGGAACUGCAUUUGAAACUGGCAGACUAGAGUACUGUAGAGGGGGUAGAAUUUCAGGUGUAGCGGUG
rnacentral:rRNA from 1 species